CGAACGCUGGCGGCGUGCUUACCACAUGCAAGUCGACCGGAAAGGCCCUGCUUUUGUGGGGUGCUCGAGUGGCGAACGGGUGAGUAACACGUGAGUAACCUGCCCUUGACUUUGGGAUAACUUCAGGAAACUGGGGCUAAUACCGGAUAGGAGCUCCUGCUGCAUGGUGGGGGUUGGAAAGUUUCGGCGGUUGGGGAUGGACUCGCGGCUUAUCAGCUUGUUGGUGGGGUAGUGGCUUACCAAGGCUUUGACGGGUAGCCGGCCUGAGAGGGUGACCGGCCACAUUGGGACUGAGAUACGGCCCAGACUCCUACGGGAGGCAGCAGUGGGGAAUAUUGCACAAUGGGCGGAAGCCUGAUGCAGCAACACCGCGUGCGGGAUGACGGCCUUCGGGUUGUAAACCGCUUUCGCCUGUGACGAAGCGUGAGUGACGGUAAUGGGUAAAGAAGCACCGGCUAACUACGUG
rnacentral:rRNA from 1 species